ACAUGGGUUUGGAUUUAUGGCUCACUUGUUCCCCCUGGGCCUCUCAUAGCACCCCAUGCCAGAGCAAACAGGCCCUGAGCAACUACCCAGUCUAUACCUAUGACGGCUGGCGCUGAAGGGGGUUGCACAGUU
rfam:Tupaia chinensis contig5397, whole genome shotgun sequence.